UAGGGUGUGAUUGUUAAUGGAAGCUGUGG
rnacentral:piRNA from 1 species